rnacentral:rRNA from 1 species
AGAGUUUGAUCCUGGCUCAGGACGAACGCUGGCGGCGUGCCUAAUACAUGCAAGUCGAGCGGACCUCAUAGGAAGCUUGCUUUUUAUGAGGUUAGCGGCGGACGGGUGAGUAACACGUGGGUAACCUGCCCUAUAGAUCGGGAUAACUCGCGGAAACGCGUGCUAAUACCGGAUAACACAGCGGAGCGCAUGCUCCGGUGUUGAAAGGUGGUUCUGCUACCGCUAUAGGAUGGGCCCGCGGCGCAUUAGCUAGUUGGUGGGGUAACGGCCUACCAAGGCGACGAUGCGUAGCCGACCUGAGAGGGUGAUCGGCCACACUGGGACUGAGACACGGCCCAGACUCCUACGGGAGGCAGCAGUAGGGAAUCUUCCACAAUGGGCGAAAGCUCUGAUGGAGCAACGCCGNCGUGAGCGAAGAAGGUCUUCGGAUCGUAAAGCUCUGUUGUAAGGGAAGAACAAGUGCGGUAGUAAC